AUUGAACGCUGGCGGCAGGCCUAACACAUGCAAGUCGAACGAGUGGCGGACGGGUGAGUAAUGUCUGGGAAACUGCCUGAUGGAGGGGGAUAACUACUGGAAACGGUAGCUAAUACCGCAUACCAUCGGAUGAGCCCAGAUGGGAUUAGCUAGUAGGUGGGGUAAAGGCUCACCUAGGCGACGAUCCCUAGCUGGUAUGAGAGGAUGACCAGCCACACGGGAACUGGGAAAGGGUCCGACUCCCAACGGGAGGCACAAGGGGGGAAUAUUGCACAAGGGGCGCAAGCCUGAUGCAGCCAUGCCGCGUGGAUGAAGAAGGCUUUCGGGUUGUAAAGUACUUUCAUCGGGGAGGCGUUACCCGCAGAAGAAGCACCGGCUAACUCCGUGCCAGCAGCCGCGGUAAUUC
rnacentral:rRNA from 1 species